rnacentral:lncRNA from 1 species
GGAACAAGCUGUACAUCCGUUCCUGUUUACAAGCUUCCUAAACUUGGCGGUCUAAAGCAGUAGCGGAUUGAUGACCAUUCGAAAGAAACCUCACAAGUGUUUGACACAAGGCCCAGCAGCUAGAAGACCUGUAACUCUGGAGAAUAUCGGCAAUAAGUAGCCUCUUCCUUGCUGCAAAGAAGGAUUUGGAAACAGAGACUCUGCUAAAGGUAGAGAUUUUCAAGGAGGCUUCUGGAGAGAAAAUGUAGAUACAGCAUUACAUAAUUUUAAGCCACUCCAUGUUAUUAAUAAACUCUUCUGGUUGGGAUGGGAGCCACGACUAGAAUAUGGCUCUGGAAACAUACGCCUUAUUCAAAAAGAACAAGGUAAAUAAAAAGGCUGGGAAAGGAGUAUAUGUUAAGAUGG